UCAGAUGAAGAAAGCAGCAGCAACAGCACCGAAUUCAAACUCCCAAAGUUAAGAGAACUGGAAUUGAGUUUGUUACCAGAACUGAAAAGAAUUUGUAGUGCAAAACUGAUUUGCGAUUCUCUCCAAAAAAUUGAAGUAGACACAUGUGAGAAGCUGAAGAGGAUGGCAAUUUGUCUUCCAUCUCCCUCUUCUAUUAGAAAAAUGUAUAUAAGACCAAAAGAAUGGUGGGAGUCAGUAGCAGAGUGGGAGCAUCCUAACGCUAAGGAUGUCCUUCAUCCCUUUAUAGAGUUUUGGUAGGAAACGACUCCGCCUUCAAUAUAAUAUAAUAUAUAUUGAAUUAAUUACAGAUAAUUUGACAGCCGGUGAAGGAUUCCAAAGCUGCAGAAUGUUUGUUGUUAAGGCAUUUCAAGGAGAGAUGAUGCAUUUGGGGAAGCUAAGGGGAUCCACACUCUGCAUAGCUUUGGGUAUGGCACAAGAAGCGGUGGAUUCUCCAGUAAUCCUAAUUCCUCUAGUCUCAUGUCAGACAAUUUCAUUUAAUGCUUUUGAAUUGAGCAUCAAAUUUACUAUUGCUGUGGGUUAUUUGGUUUGAUCCACAAGGAAGCAAAAGAAUGGCGUGAGUCAGUAGUGCAGUGGGAGCAUCCUGAUGCUAAGGAUGUCCUUCAUGGCCUUGCAUGGUUGGGGGACAUCAUUAAGAUAG